rnacentral:rRNA from 1 species
CGCGGCCUAUCAGCUUGUUGGUGAGGUAACGGCUCACCAAGGCAACGACGGGUAGCUGGUCUGAGAGGACGAUCAGCCACACUGGGACUGAGACACGGCCCAGACUCCUACGGGAGGCAGCAGCAGGGAAUAUUGCACAAUGGGCGAAAGCCUGAUGCAGCGACGCCGCGUGGGGGAUGAAGGCCUUCGGGUUGUAAACCCCUUUCAGGAGGGACGAAGCGAAAGUGACGGUACCUCCAGAAGAAGCCCCGGCCAACUACGUGCCAGCAGCCGCGGUAAUACGUAGGGGGCGAGCGUUGUCCGGAUUUAUUGGGCGUAAAGAGCUCGUAGGCGGCUCAACAAGUCGGCCGUGAAAGCCCGAGGCUUAACCUCGGGACGCCGGUCGAAACUGUUGUGGCUAGGGUCCGGUAGAGGAGAGUGGAAUUCCCGGUGUAGCGGUGAGGUGCGCAGAUAUCGGGAGGAACACCAGUAGCGAAGGCGGCUCUCUGGGCCGGCACCGACGCUGAGGAGCGAAAGCUAGGGGAGCAAACAGGAUUAGAUACCCUGGUAGUCCUAGCCGUAAACGAUGGGUACUAGGUGUGGCGGAUUCAUUGACAUCUGCCGUGCCGAAGCUAACGCAUUAAGUACCCCGCCUGGGGAGUACGG